rnacentral:rRNA from 1 species
UACAGAGGUCCCAAGCGUUGUUCGGAUUCACUGGGCGUAAAGGGUGCGUAGGUGGCGUCGUAAGUCAGGUGUGAAAUCUCGGGGCUCAACCCCGAAACUGCACUUGAUACUGCGAUGCUCGAGUACUGGAGAGGAGAUUGGAAUUUACGGUGUAGCAGUGAAAUGCGUAGAUAUCGUAAGGAAGACCAGUGGCGAAGGCGAAUCUCUGGACAGUUACUGACACUGAGGCACGAAGGCCAGGGGAGCAAACGGG